CAGGAUGUAGUUAAGUUAGCAAAGCAUCUCCCUUACACUGAGAAGGCCCCCGUGCAAAUCGGGUCAUCCUGA
rnacentral:tRNA from 1 species